rnacentral:rRNA from 1 species
GACGAACGCUGGCGGCGCGCCUAAUACAUGCAAGUCGAACGGGCACUCCUUCGGGGGUGUCAGUGGCGGACGGGUGAGUAACACGUGGGUGACCUGCCUUGUAGUGGGGAAGUAACUCUGGGAAACCGAGAGCUAAUACCGCAUACGCUCAAUGGUUCAUUUCGUUGAGCAAAGCUUUAUGUGCUACAAGAGGGGCCUGCGGCAGAUUAGCUAGUCGGUGGGGUAAUGGCCACCGAGGCAACGAUCUGUAGCUGGUCUGAGAGGACGACCAGCCACACUGGGACUGAGACACGGCCCAGACUCCUACGGGAGGCAGCAGUAAGGAAUAUUCCACAAUGGCGCAAGCCUGAUGGAGCGACGCCGCGUGAGCGAAGAAGCCCUUC